UCAGAUACUUUACUGAUAUCUCUGUGUUCCUCUGUGUUUCAGCUGAUCAGCAUCAUGAGACUGAUCAUUCAUGCACAUUCCCUAACCCUCAGCACUCUGGUCUUACACACUGUGGAAUUAUUAUUAUAAUCCUAUCAUGUGUGUGUGCGGUCUUUGUUUCAAUAAGCAUCAUCUGCUCCUCUCUGUACUGUUCCACGCUACAAGAUAAGUGUUCUUCCACUGGGGACUCAAACGAGAAGGUACCAGAAAAACGAUGAAAUGAUGAAAUGUAGUUGAUGGAAGUCAGCGCCGAGAUCAUGUCACUAUUAAAGCAGACUAAUAACGUCACAUUAUCAGAUGUUUCUCUCUGCAGGAAGUGGACCUGCACCUGUCUGAUUUGACCUCUGUGACCUACACAAGUGUCUCCUGACGGCCCAGAAAACAUCAGCAGCAUGAGGAUCAGAAUCAGCAGAGAACCUGCUACAAUCCCAUCGACCUUGCAUACAUCAAGUACUCACUAAUAAUCCGUGUGGUCUGAAGAUUAAUGACUUCCUGUUCUGCCCCCAAAAGCAUGUUAUCUGGGUGAUUCCCCAACUGUGACGUCAUUCAGCUCUCGUAACUCUUAAACUUCAAUUUUUAAAUAAUUGUUCAACAAUGAAUCGAGGAAAACGUUCAUUUAACUAUUCAAAAAUGUCUUAAGUUCAAAAAAUAAUAAUUUAUUUACAAGAAUUCUUUGGUACAUUUUGCUCUUAAAAGAGUUCCAAGGUUAAAAGUAGUGAUGUUAAAGCUUCAUGAAGAGUUGAAGCAUUAAAGCCAGAUGUGUUGAAGAUGUUUGUUUCUUUGGGCUAUAAGUGCACACUAGAGCUCUAGUGGUCAAAAGACUUUAGUCCUGUGUAACAUGUAACACUGCACUGUGUGUACAGGCCAAUACGAAGUACAUGACUGAUAUAAUCAAUAUCAAAUAAAUGAAUUCCUGAAGGUGAA